rnacentral:rRNA from 1 species
ACUCAAAUGAAUUGACGGGGGCCCGCACAAGCAGUGGAGUAUGUGGUUUAAUUCGAAGCAACGCGAAGAACCUUACCAGGGCUUGACAUCCCACUAACGAAGUAGAGAUACAUUAGGUGCCCUUCGGGGAAAGUGGAGACAGGUGGUGCAUGGUUGUCGUCAGCUCGUGUCGUGAGAUGUUGGGUUAAGUCCCGCAACGAGCGCAACCCUUACCGUUAGUUGCUACGCAAGAGCACUCUAACGGGACUGCCGUUGACAAAACGGAGGAAGGUGGGGACGACGUCAAAUCAUCAUGCCCCUUAUGUCCUGGGCUACACACGUACUACAAUGGCGAGUGACAAAGCGAAGCAAGGCAGCGAUGCGGAGCGAAUCGCGAAAACUCGUCUCAGUUCGGAUUGCAGGCUGCAACCCGCCUGCAUGAAGUUGGAAUUGCUAGUAAUCGCGGAUCAGCAUGCCGUGGUGAAUACGUUCCCGGGCCUUGUACACACCGCCCGU